rnacentral:lncRNA from 10 species
AAGAAGGGGUGGAUGUUUAAACCCCCUCUUCUUCCAGGCAGAUGAAACCACAUGUGCAAAACAGGAAACAUCACUGGGUUUUUGAAGAACUAGGAUGGAAUGCAGAUUGUGAGUGGGGAACACCAAAUGGAGAAGGAAAGGGAUCAGGUGGCUGAUGCCAGUGUCAGAGGGGCCUUGAAAAUCACCUUAAGGAGCCUGACUUUAUCCCGAAGACUGCAAGAUGGGUAAGUUUAGACUUUAUACAAGAGUUGCAAAAAUAGUAUGGAGAGUUCCCAUACACCCUCCUCCUUUUAACAAUGGACAUAAUCAUGUCUAGUCAUCAAAACUAGGAAAUUAACCUUGGUACAAUACUAUUAACCAAAGUACAUACUUUAUUUUGAUUUCUCCAGUUGUUUCACUGAUAUCUUUUGUUCCAGAACACAAUCCAGGGGCCCACAUUGCAUUUAGCUGUCAUGCCUUCAUAGUCUUCUCCAAUCUGUGACAGCUCAGUCUUUCCUUGUUUUUUUGUGACUUUGACACUUUUCAAAUGGGUAUUUUGUCAAAUGUCAGUUAUUCUGAAGAAUGUCCCUCAAUAUGGGCUUGUUUGUUUUCUCAGGAUUAGAUUGAGUGAACUUACCUCUCUGUGUGUGUAUAUGUGUGACCUUCUCAGUGUUUCAUAUCAGGGGGUAUAUACAAUGUUGGUGUGUUUUAUUGGUACUGUUAAUCUUGAUCACUUGGCUAAAGUUAUGUCUGUCAGAAUUCUCUAAAUAAACUUACUAUUUUUCCCUUUGUAAUUACUAUAUAUUUGCAGACUAUGCAAAUAUUCUGUUUCUGUUGACACUGAUGCCACUUAUUUAGCAUCCAUUAGUAGGUUUUGCUUGUCGCAAUUAUUACUGUGAUGUUCUAAUGGUGAAUUUUUUUUUUUUUUUUUUUUUUUGGUUUGUUGCCCAGGGUGGAGUACAAUGGCAUGAUCUUGGCUUACUGCAACCUCCGUCUCCCAGGUUUACCUUAGCCUCCAGAGUAGCCGGGACUGUAGGCACAUGCCACCGCGCCAGCUAAUUUUUGUAUUUUUUUUUUGUAUAGACGGGGUUUCAGCAUGAUACCAAGGCUGGUCUUGAACUCCUGAGCUUAAGCAAUCCACCUGCUCCGGCCUCCCAAAGUAUUGGGAUUACAGGCAUGAACCACUGUGCCCAGCCCUAAUGGUGAUUUUUCUAUUUCCCUCAUUCCUUCUACAUUUAUAUUUAUAUUUAUAUUUUUAGAGAUGGAGUCUCACUAUGCUGCCCAGGCUGGUCUUGAACUCCAGGGCUCAAGUGAUCCUCUUGCCUUGGCCUCCCAAAGUGCUGGGAUUACAGGUGUGAGCCACUAAGCCUGGCCUCCUUCUACAUUUGUUAAUCAGAAUUCACUUAAAGGAAAAAUGAUCACUUCUCUUUAUUUAUUCACUUAUUCCUUUCGGUAUGAACUCAUGGAUAUUUUUAUCCUUUGGGUUAUAAAUUAAUCCUACAGUUAUUGUUCCUCAAGUUGUUCCACCGUUGGCCAUCAGAAGUUCUUUCAGGUUGGCUUCUGUGCCCUUUGAUAUGCUUCCUUUCUUUUUUUAGAAAGCACUUCCUAGCUUGCUGGCCCCUUAAGA